CCGCUUCAAUAACAUGUCUUGGAACUCAAUUGGUCACUAUCAGCGCAGCCUCCAUAUUCUUGGAUGUUCUAGACUUUGUCAACAGUGCAGAGUUGUCUUCGGCAGAGCUCGAUAGCAACUCUAGGUAAACAAGAGCUACUGGACUAUUAUGCACAGGGGAAUGGAAGGAAAGUAAAAAUUCAAGCUUUUAAUACAAAUUGGAAAUUGAGCGACACUAAACAAACGAUAGGUAAAACUAACCACUACUUUCUUUCCAUUUAAAUAUAAAUCAAUUGAUUAAGUCUGUGUUUUAAAAUGAAGUUUCAAUUGUUUUCAAAUUCUAACAAUGAUCUCCUACACGUUAAGAUAAUCUAUUUAGAGUUUUGAUCCACUUUUGAUUACACAGAAUUUCAAUUUUUUUCCAUAUAAAGUUUCCAUUUUUCUUUAGAGUAAGAGAAGAAGCUUUAAUUUGGGUUUACAAUUUUUCCUUUUGUAGAUUUUCAAAGUAGGACCAAGUUUUCAAAAGGCACUUCAGGUUCUGGAAUUUUUUUUUUAUUUUUUUGUUAUGCUUUUGUUAUAUCAGGUUCUAAAUUGCGCAACACAAUUUUUCCCUUUGUCUAAUCUACUCCAAAGAGAGGCUGAGCAAAAGGAGGAAAGGUUUAAGCAGGUAUGUGUACUGUGUGUUUUCAUCAAUACUUUCUCAGAAUGUGCCUUCAUUGUUGGUUUCUGUACUAUUUUUCUCUGUCUAAAAAUUUGAAAUAAAUAUGAUCUUUUCACUAUCGCUUCUCCUUCCAAGUUUUUUCCACAUAAAAUAAAACAACAAAUAAAUAUUUUGUUUCCCUUUUUCUACUUUAUUCUUUUGCAGCAAAACAAGCAUGAUUUUGUUGGUACUGCUUAUUUAGUGAAGCAACGGUUUCAUAUUGUGAACUGUUUUGCGUGUUUAUCACUUUAUUUUUUAUGGUUUCAGUUUCCUAAAUGAAGUUUGACAUGUAUGGAAUUUGACAAUUUACAACCAUGGACUUCAUUUCACCCAUGGACACCUAUUUUGUUCCUUAUUGUUGAUAGAGUUGUAAAUAAAUUUGCACAUGUAUGUAAAUAGUAUUGUCUACUGUAUAUACGUAUAUAAUUUUUUUAGAACUUCUAUAUGUGUUAUACAAUUUUCAUUCCUGCAGCAACGCGCGGACACCCUUGCUAGUAUAUACUAAAACUCAGUUUCCCUAACACUGUUCAUUAACAGUGAACUCCCCAGAAUGCCCCAAAAUUGCUCUUGGUUGUCCAGGUUUUCCACUUUUUGGCCAGUGAAAUGGCGACAUUGCCCUCGGUGGCCAUGCGUCUAUCAUCGCUGAUCCUUCUCCUUAGAUUUCUUCGUUGCUUUUUCUUUCCGUUCGCUUCUCUCUCUACAUCCUUAGCUUCUGUAAAUUGUCUAUCGUUUUUUCCCUUACACGCUGGUGUUGUUCUUGGUGUCCACCCUUUGCAAGUUUCUCCGUCCGAUUAUUCACCUUUGUUUUUCUUCUGGAAAAUUGCUCGUUCAUGAACGGUGGUGGGGCUACAGAUUUCUGCCUUUUUCAAUUCGAUUGAAAUCUGUUUUUUGCUUGCGUAGUCUUAACGUGUUUGGGUGAUUUUUGCAUUUUUUAGCGUACGUGAUUUCGUUUUUUAGGUGGUUCUCAAUUGGAUUCCACAGUAAAACCCAGAAACUUAGAGUAAAAACCUUGAAACUUAAAGGCAUGAGGCACCUCCACGCCUCCCAAUCUGCCGACGUUAGAGCGCUCACCACAUGUUCGUCAUUAAUCCUCAAACAGUCGAACCCACUUCUCUCCGUCUCCGUCUCCGUAUGCGUUUGCACUGUCGCACAAUCUGUAUGUCGUUAGAAACUACUUGAGCAGCUGCGAUCUCAGAUUUUCAGUUUCUAAACAAUGACAUGAUGCGACUGUUCAAAGUGCUUUUAUCAUUAAGGAUUGUUUUGUUGCAAAAAGCAAGGCCGAUUUGUUUAGGGCUUGAAGAUUUCUACGUUCACCAGGUUUAUCUUCGACGUCAGGUGCUUUGUUCCAUUAACAACUUAAAGUCAGUUGCAACCAGAGAGUUUGGUUAUGAUUGGGUAAAAUAAGCUGAUUAUCUGCCUAUUUCAUGAGGAUAUCAAUAGGGACUAUCUACCCAAUCUUUUGUGUGUAAAUAGUAUGUAAAUACACAUCAAAUAUUAUCUUUUGUAUGUAAAUUUGUAAAAGAUGUGAAUAUUAGAACAAUGGCAAUAGAACUGCCAAUCCAUAUCGUUGUAAAUAGAUUUCUGUAUGUAUAUAAAUAGUAAUGCA